UAGUGGCGCACGGGUGAGUCACUGGGAACCUACCUUACGGUCGGAAUAACUCAUGAAACUUGGGCUAAUACCGUAUACGUCCUUCGGGAGAAAGAUUUAUCGCCGUAAGAUGGGCCCGCGCCCGAUUAGCUAGUUGGUGGGGUAACGGCCUACCAAGGCUGCGAUCGGUAGCUGGUCUGAGAGGAUGAUCAGCCACACUGGGACUGAGACACGGCCCAGACUCCUACGGGAGGCAGCAGUGGGGAAUAUUGGACAAUGGGCGCAAGCCUGAUCCAGCCAUGCCGCGUGAGUGAAGACGGCCUUAGGGUUGUAAAGCUCUUUCAGCGGGGAAGAUGAUGACGGUACCCGCAGAAGAAGCCCCGGCUCACUCCGUGCCAGCAGCCGCGGUAAUACGGAGGGGGCACGCGUUGUUCAGAAUUACUGGACGUAAAGGGCGCGCAGGCGGCUGGUCGCGUCAGGUGUGAAAGCCCCGGGCUCAACCUGGGAACUGCACUUGACUAACGGGCCGGAUUGAGGACGAGAGAGGAGUGUGGAAUCCCCAGUGUAGAUGCAAACUCCGACACUUUGGGAGAACACCAGUGGCGAUGCGGACUCUGGCUCUUUCUGGACACGAUGCGCGAAAACUUGGGAACAAACAGGAUUAUAUACCCUGGUAGU
rnacentral:rRNA from 1 species